AUUGAACGCUAGCGGCAGGCUUAACACAUGCAAGUCGAACGAGCGGCGGACGGGUGAGCAAUGUCUCGGAACGUGCACAAUGGAGGGGGAUAACUACUGGAAACGGUUGCUAAUACCGCAUAGUAUUGGAUCGGCCGAUAUAGGAUUAGCUAGGUGGUGGGGUAAAGGCUCACCACGGCCACGAUCCGUAGCUGGUCUGAGAGGAAGACCAGCCACACGGGAACUGAGACACGGUCCAGACUCCUACGGUAGGCAGCAGUGGGGAAUUGUGGACAAUGGGCGAAAGCCUGAUCCAGCCAUGCCGCGUGUAUGAAGAAGGCCUUCGGGUUGUAAAGUACUUUUAGCGGGGAGGCGGUACCUGCAGAAUAAGCACCGGCUAACUCCGUGCCAGCAGCCGCGGUAAUAC
rnacentral:rRNA from 1 species